rnacentral:lncRNA from 1 species
AUGCCUUUAUAGGACUCCAAAACAAGAUCCUCAUCGCAUAUUAAGACCACUCCAAAAGCAGAGACCCAUGCCCUGGGUUCAAGAUGAAGCCCUGAUAUUUAUGAUCCAUAUGGCAUUGUGCAAGUUACAACAACUCUGCAAGCCUCAGCUGCCUCAUCUCUAAGAUGAGUUCAUAAUGCUAUAUAAUUUAAAUCUAUAUGUGGAAGCUCCAAUAAGCUAAAAUGGGUAAAGUUCUUUGUAAACCUUCAAGACUCUGCAAAUUCCUUCCUCCUUUUCUUUCUUCCUUCCUUCCUUUCUUCCUCCUCCUUCCCUCCCUCCCUCCCUUCCUUCCUUCCUUCCUUCCUUCCUUCCUUCCUUUCUUUCUUCCUUUUUCUUUCUUUCUUUCUUUCUUUCUUUCUUUCUUCCUUCCUUUCUUUCUUCCUUCCUUUCUUUCUUUCUUUCUUUCUUUCUUUCUUUCUUUCUCCCUUCCUU